GAUGAACGCUGGCGGCGUGCUUAACACAUGCAAGUCGAACGGGCCUUGUAGCAAUAUGAGGCUAGUGGCAAAAGGGUGCGUAACACGUGGGUAACCUACCUCAGAGUGGGGAAUAACGACCCGAAAGGGUCGCUAAUACCGCAUACGCUCGAGAGAGUAAAGCCGAAAGGCGCUUUGAGAGGGGCCUGCGUCCCAUCAGGUAGUUGGUGAGGUAAUGGCCCACCAAGCCGAUGACGGGUAGCUGAUCUGAGAGGAUGACCAGCCACACUGGCACUGAGACACGGGCCAGACUCCUACGGGUGGCAG
rnacentral:rRNA from 1 species